ACGCUGUGUAUGGCGAUUGAAGGGAUGCUGCCCGCCUUCUUGCUUAAUAAAGUGUGAUGCACGCUCCUGCGGCUGGUGCUUCGCAGGCAUCCGGGAUUGGGUGAGCCGGAAGAACUGGCCCGCACAAUCUCCACGAAGCCGGGCUACAGACGGGAGGCAGGAUGGAGGGAAGGCGCGAGUCUUGUGGUGUCCAAACCCAUCCCGGUAGCUGCCGGAAAGAGGCUGCGCUGAGCGGCAGGGGCGGAGCCUCAGACGGGGCGGGGCGGAGCCUCAGACGGGGCGGGGCGGGGCCUAGUUGCUGCGCUGCACCGAGCUGGUGUCCGGCGGGGCCGUGGCUGCUCCUCCACGCGUAGCCCCGCACCUGCUGCCCCAGUCCAGCCCGGAGCUCCGCGGCCAUGCGGCUGGCGCUGCUCUGGGCUCUGGGACUCCUGGGCGCGGGCAGCCCUCGGCCCUCCCCGCCGCUGCCAAAUAUAGGAGGCACUGAGGAAGAGCAGCAAGCCAGCCCAGAGAGGACGCUGAGUGGAUCCAUGGAGAGCCGGGUUGUUCAGGACAGCCCCCCAAUGAGCCUAGCAGACGUGCUUCAGACUGGUUUACCUGAGGCCCUGAGGAUUUCCUUGGAGCUGGACAGUGAGAGUCAUGUCCUGGAGCUUCUACAAAAUAGAGAUCUAAUCCCUGGCCGCCCAACUCUGGUGUGGUACCAGCCUGAUGGCACCCGAAUGGUCAGCGAGGGCUACAGUCUAGAAAACUGCUGCUACCGAGGACGAGUGCAGGGCCACCCCAGCUCCUGGGUGUCCCUCUGUGCCUGCUCUGGGAUCAGGGGGCUCAUUGUCCUGUCCCCAGAGAGAGGCUAUACACUGGAGCUGGGCCCUGGGGACCUUCAGCGUCCUGUCAUUUCUCGGAUCCAAGACCACCUGUUGCUGGGCCACACCUGUGCCCCAAGCUGGCAUGCCUCUGUGCCCACUCGGGCAGGACCAGACCUCCUUCUGGAACAGCAUCACGCUCACAGGCUUAAGCGAGAUGUAGUAACAGAGACGAAAAUUGUGGAGUUGGUGAUUGUGGCUGAUAAUUCAGAGGUCAGAAAGUACCCUGACUUCCAACAACUGCUGAACCGGACACUAGAAGCGGCUCUCUUGCUAGACACGUUCUUCCAGCCCUUGAAUGUCCGGGUAGCCCUUGUGGGCCUAGAGGCAUGGACCCAGCACAACCUGAUAGAAAUGAGCUCCAACCCAGCUGUCCUGCUAGACAACUUCCUCCGCUGGCGCCGGACAGACUUGCUGCCUCGACUGCCCCAUGACAGUGCCCAACUGGUGACUGUAACUUCCUUCUCUGGUCCCAUGGUGGGCAUGGCCAUUCAGAAUUCCAUCUGUUCCCCUGACUUCUCCGGAGGUGUGAAUAUGGACCACUCCACAAGCAUCUUAGGCGUUGCCUCCUCGAUUGCCCAUGAAUUGGGCCACAGUCUGGGUUUGGACCAUGAUUCUCCCGGGCACAGCUGUCCCUGUCCAGGUCCAGCCCCGGCUAAGAGCUGCAUCAUGGAGGCCUCCACAGACUUCCUACCAGGUUUGAACUUCAGCAACUGCAGCCGACAGGCCCUGGAAAAGGCCCUCCUGGAAGGAAUGGGCAGCUGCCUCUUCGAACGGCAACCCAGCCUGGCCCCUAUGUCCUCUUUGUGUGGAAAUAUGUUUGUGGACCCCGGAGAGCAGUGUGACUGUGGCUUCCCAGAUGAAUGCACUGAUCCCUGCUGUGACCAUUUCACCUGCCAGCUGAGGCCAGGAGCGCAGUGUGCAUCUGAUGGACCCUGUUGUCAAAACUGCAAGUUGCACCCAGCUGGUUGGCUGUGCCGCCCUCCCACAGACGAUUGUGAUCUGCCUGAGUUCUGCCCAGGAGAUAGCUCUCAGUGCCCGUCUGACAUCAGACUUGGGGACGGUGAGCCUUGUGCUAGUGGAGAGGCUGUGUGUAUGCAUGGGCGCUGUGCCUCCUAUGCCCGGCAGUGCCAGUCACUUUGGGGACCCGGGGCCCAGCCUGCUGCGCCACUUUGCCUCCAAACAGCCAACACUCGGGGUAAUGCCUUUGGGAGCUGUGGGCGCAGCCCUGGUGGUAGCUACAUGCCUUGUGCCCCUAGAGAUGUCAUGUGUGGGCAACUGCAGUGCCAGUGGGGUAGGAGCCAGCCUCUGUUGGGCUCAGUCCAAGAUCGGCUCUCGGAGGUCCUGGAAGCCAACGGGACACAGUUAAACUGCAGCUGGGUGGACCUGGACCUGGGCAAUGAUGUGGCCCAGCCUCUUCUGGCUCUGCCUGGCACUGCCUGUGGUCCUGGCCUGGUGUGCAUCGGCCACCGAUGCCAGCCCGUGGAUCUCCUGGGAGCACAGGAAUGUCGAAGAAAAUGCCACGGCCAUGGGGUCUGUGACAGCAGCGGGCACUGCCGCUGUGAAGAGGGCUGGGCACCUCCAGACUGCAUGACCCAGCUCAAAGCAACCAGCUCCCUGACCACAGGCCUGCUCCUCAGCCUCCUGUUGUUAUUGGUCCUCGUACUACUUGGUGCCAGCUACUGGCACCGUGCCCGCCUGCAUCAGCGGCUCUGCCAGCUUAAGGGAUCCAGCUGCCAAUAUAGGGCACCCCAAUCCUGUCCUCCUGAACGACCAGGACCUCCACAGCGGGCACAGCAGAUGACAGGCACUAAGCGACCAGAGCCAUGGGAUAAUGGGGCCUUGUGCAAAAGGACCUUCCGUGUGCUAAGAUCUGAUAAGGCCCAGGACAUCAUGUGUGAAAGGAUGCCAAGUGCCCAGGGCCUAAGCCCUCUACCUUUAAUGGCAAGAGGCAAGCUAGUGUGGUCAGCUUUCCAGUGCCCCCCUCCAGGCCGCUGCCACCUAACCCCGUGCCCAAGAAACUCCAGUGGUGUUCUUCAUUAGGAGACCAGGGUGCCCCCUCAGCCUUCAAAGUCCCAGAUGCAGCAAAGGGCUGCGCUGGCUGACCGAUCCAAUCCCCCCACUCGCCCUCUGCCCGCUGACCCUGUGGUGAGGCGCCCAAAGUCUCAGGGGCCUACCAAACCCCCACCCCCAAGAAAGCCACUGCCUGCCAACCCACAGGGCCAGCACCCACCAGGUGACCUGCCUGGCCCAGGAGAUGGAAGCUUGCCGCUGGUGGUGCCCUCCAGGCCAGCUCCACCACCCCCUGCAGCAUCUUCGCUCUACCUCUGACCUCUGGAGAUUUGGCUGCCUCCUUCUCAAGCUCUAAGACUCAAAGAAAUGGAACCUCUGCCCCAAACACUAGAGAAGCAGGAGAACAGACAAUCUGGUGUCCAGCCCUAAAGAACCACCAGGCGCUGUUAAGCAAUACCUGGGGACGCACUAAAAUAGCUGCAGCGGGAUGCUGGGGAGGGGCCGAAGCCGGGGCUGGAGUAGGUGGCGGAAGGACAUGGACACUGUCUAUCUCUGCUCUGUUGUAAUAAAUGUGAGAUCUUGGAAUGUG